AUGGGAGACACCGCCCUCACCUUCAUCCUUCUCUUCCUCAUCACCCUGCUGUUCGCCGUUGGAACCACUGCUUUCAAGCCUAAAUACAAAGACAUUACACUUAGAAUUAAGGGAGCACAGUUGGUUACUUCACCAAAAUCUGAAGGGCCUGCAGUGACAGCUCCAUCAGUGGAGAUCAAGAGAUCUCUGCCACAUUUUCUGAAGGGAAACAGUGCUGUGCUGGAGUUUGAUGUCACACAACUCUCCACCAGUGACCUUUAUGUCACCUUUCAAGCCAACGGUGUUAACAUCUCUGACAAACAGUGUGUUGAUCUUCCUGAAGCACCAGGCCUCCAUUCAAUCAGUUGAAGCUUCUCUGUCCCUCCAAGUCACUGGAAGGAAGGUGCAAGUUUCACCUGUAAAGUGAAUCAAGGCUUCUCCAGCAACUUUGAGUCAAACUCAACUGGAAAUAUUUUUGGUGACCCAUCUAUGGAGCUCCUUCUUGUCCACAGUGAAGAGUCUUGUGCUCUCGAUGGGGCUUCAACCCUCAAAUGAAAUGGUUUUUGGAGGCUCAGCAAAGAUCCUCAUCAACCAAUGACAUCAGCAUGGGUGCAGAUGGACGUCUAUCAGUCACCAGUCAACUUCAUAUCCCUCAGAAAGAGUGGAAAACAGGGAAGGUCUUCACUUGUGAAGUGUCUGACAGGUCUAUGAACAAAUAUGUCAGGAAGGAAAUCAGCCUCUGUGCAGGUAAAUUCUGAUCAUAAUCCACAAUCAUAUUAAGGCAUCAUGUGUAGAACAAAUAGAUGCACACAAUUUCAGAA